rnacentral:rRNA from 1 species
AGUGAACGCUGGCGGCAUGCCUAAUACAUGCAAGUCGAACGGACGCACGGUAAGCUUUCGCUUCUGAUGGUGGCGGCUGGCGGGCGGGUGACGCAUACAUAAGCUACCUCUUAUACUUGGGGGACUACGGAGGGCCAGUUAUAUACCUAACGAUUUCGUGAUCCGCGUGAUUGAAGGGGAUAAUCCGAUCUUGCGCUCUCGUAUAAAUCGAUGUCGGAUUAGCUAGUUGGUGGGGUAAAGGACCACCAAGGCGACGAUCGAUAGCUGGUCUGAGAGGGUGAUCGGCCACACUGGAACUGAGACACGGUCCAGACUCCUACGGGAGGCAGCAGUAGGGAAUCUUGGGCAAUGGGCGAAAGCCUGAUCCAGCAAUGCCGCGUGAGUGAAGAAGGCCUUCGGAUUGUAAAACUCUGUUGUUAGGAAAGAAAAUCUGCGGAUGUAAACGCGCCUGUUUUGACGGUACCCAAAGAGAAAGCACCGGCUAACUACGUG